rnacentral:rRNA from 1 species
CGCUUCUAGGUUUAAUUAGAGGUAUCACCUGCCCACUGAUUCUUGAAGGGCCGCAGUAUUUUGACUGUGCAAAGGUAGCAUAAUCACUAGUCUCUUAAUUAGAGGCUGGAAUGAAUGGUUGGAUGAGGUACUAACUGUCUCUUUUAACCAAAAUAGAAUUUAACUUUUUAGUCAAAAGGCUAAAAUACAAUUGGAGGACGAGAAGACCCUAUAGAGCUUUAUAAUAGUAAAUUAUUAAAAUUAGUUGUGGGAAUUUAUUAAUCACCUAUUAUUUUGUUGGGGUGACAAAGAAAUAACUAAACUUUCUUUUUUAAGGACAGUAAUUGCUGGACAAAGGAUCCGUGAUUUACGAUUACAAGUUUAAGUUACCUUAGGGAUAACAGCAUAAUCUUCUUUGAGAGUUCUAAUCGACAAGAAGGGUUGUGACCUCGAUGUUGGAUUAAGAUUAAUUUAAAAUGUAGCCGUUUUAAUGUUGGGUCCCUGUUCCGCACCUUUAAAUUCUUACA